CCUGAUGACAAUAGCAGUUUGGUACCACCUGAUCCCAUCUCGAACUCAGAAGUGAAACGGACUUACGCCAAUGGUAGUGCAAGGUCUCCUUGUGUGAGAGUAGGUAAUCGUCAGGC
rnacentral:rRNA from 6 species